UACGGAGGGUGCAAGCGUUAUCCGGAUUCACUGGGUUUAAAGGGUGCGUAGGCGGGCAGGUAAGUCAGAGGUGAAAUCUCCGGGCUUAACCCGGAAACUGCCUUUGAUACUAUCUGUCUUGAAUAUGGUGGAGGUAAGCGGAAUAUGUCAUGUAGCGGUGAAAUGCUUAGAGAUGACAUAGAACACCCAUUGCGAAGGCAGCUUACUACGCCUAUAUUGACGCUGAGGCACGAAAGCGUGGGGGAUCAAACAGG
rnacentral:rRNA from 1 species